rnacentral:rRNA from 1 species
UAAGGAAUAUUGGUCAAUGGACGCAAGUCUGAACCAGCCAUGCCGCGUGAAGGAUGAAGGUCCUCUGGAUUGUAAACUUCUUUUAUCUGGGACGAAAACGGGAUUUUUAUCUCAAUUGACGGUACCAGAGGAAUAAGCACCGGCUAACUCCGUGCCAGCAGCCGCGGUAAUACGGAGGGUGCGAGCGUUAUCCGGAUUUACUGGGUUUAAAGGGUGCGUAGGUGGGCUUAUAAGUCAGUGGUGAAAUCUCCGAGCUUAACUUGGAAACUGCCGUUGAUACUAUAGGUCUUGAAUUAUCUGGGGGUAAGCGGAAUAUGUCAUGUAGCGGUGAAAUGCUUAGAUAUGACAUAGAACACCAAUUGCGAAGGCAGCUUACUACAUAUAAAUUGACGCUGAGGCACGAAAGCGUGGGGAUCAAACA